rnacentral:rRNA from 1 species
GACGAACGCUGGCGGCGUGCUUAACACAUGCAAGUCGAGCGGAGCGGCGAACGGGUGAGUAACGCGUGAGUAACUGCCCCCCUCUCUGGGAUAACAGUUGGAAACGGCUGCUAAUCUCGGAUAGUGGGGGGGGACUCGCGUCCGAUCAGCUUGUUGGUGGGGUAGUGGCUUACCAAGGCGACGCCGGGUAGCCGGCCUGAGAGGGGGACCGGCCACAUUGGGCUGAGGGACGAGCCAAAGUGCUACGGGAGGCAGCGGUGGGAAGGAUUGCGCAGGAGGGGAAACCCUGAUGCAGCAGCGCCGCGUGCGGGAUGACGGCCUUCGGGUUGUAAACCGCUUUCAGCCAUGACGCGGUAGUGGCAGAAGAAGCACCGGCUAACUCCGUGCCAGCAGCCGCGGUAAUUC